UCUGUAAGUUCCCCCAACAACUCCUAUAUUGUCAUCUUUCGAACGGCUUUAUACACGAAACAGAGCUCUUAAAGAGUUUGACUUUCAAUGAUCUUUCUCUUACUUUCACAGUGGGUACCAAGUUCGAUGCUGCAACGGUAGAUGAAGAAUUAGUGAGAGCAUACAGAGAGAAACAAAAGGCGAAAACAGACAAGAUUCUUGAUGAGUACCUUAGAAUUUGCUUGCGGAAAGGGGUAUGUAUAUUUUUAUACAUAUACAUAAGGGAUAUGAAGUUUAGGCCAUUCCUAAGGAGAUUGGUAUUGUAGGUCCAAGCAGAGAA
rnacentral:lncRNA from 1 species